AUAAAAAGAAAUCUAACCGGCCAAAAUACAAUGAAAACAAAGGCUUGCAAUACGAAGAAAGAGAGAACAGAGUUUGUAAUCGUAAGACAGAGUGCUUACUGCCUCCGCCGUUCCCUCGCCAUACUUCGACCACCAGAACUGCAAACACACAGUCUCUUCCAUUCCGAUUCUCCUUCUCUUUCGACAAAUUCAGCCAUUCUCUCUGUCUUUAUUAAAAGCAAAACCCUAGCCAUUGAGUUCUCUUUCCAUCAACCCAGCCUCCACCCAUAUACCGCCAGGAAAAACCCAAACAACCCGAUAAUGAACUUAAUUUUGGCCUCAAUCCCAAUCAACCCGAUUAAAAGGAAAAAAAAAAAAAAAAAAAUUCAAAACUUCCAUUGCCCAUGUAUAUCCAUAGUUUGCAAUCAGAGAACAUCUUUCAAUUUCUCUACCGGUACUAUCAUUUUAGUUGUGGCCACAAUUUGAUGUGUUUGGAUGUCUGAGUUUGCAGUUCACAAGUAGAGGGAUAUCACUCCACUGGAUGUGAAUGGCGAUGUUGGGGUCUUAGACAAAGAUGGUGAGAUGAAGAAGUUUUAAGACAAAGAACAUGAAGUUGACAACAACCAAGUUGCCUUCUCCACCAAAUUUCUUCCAAGGAUAUUCUCAUCAUUUUCUUUUUAACUUUCUUUUUUUGGCUAAUAUUUUGUAUCCAUCACAGGGGAUGUUACCAACCACUUUAGUUGCUUAUAAUAUACUUGAAAGAAAUAUAUUUGUAAGAAGCAUAUUGUUUUGGAAAUUAUAGUUGUAAUUAUGCUUUCUAAACCUAUUUAUUUUUAUCUAUUUCUAAUUAA